ACAGUUAAACAUAUGCACAUAUUUACAUUUGAUCUUUGCCUUGCAUUGCCAGGAAUUGUAAUUCCUGCUUUGACAACACUUGGUAAUGAACACAAUAAAAGUGAAUUCCUAACUAUAACCUCUGCUCAAGCAUCAUGGAUAGGCUCAUUUGGGACUAUUUUCAUAUUGUUUGGAGGUUUAUUAUCGGGAUUUGUCACAGAUAAAAUUGGCCGGAGAUUAUCAUUUUUAAUGAUGAGUAUUCCAUUGGUAAUCGGAUAUUGGAUAAUUUAUAUGGCAU